GAUGAACGCUGGCGGCGUGCCUAAUACAUGCAAGUCGGGCGAACGGACGAGAAGCUUGCUUCUCUGAUGUUAGCGGCGGACGGGUGAGUAACACGUGGAUAACCUACCUAUAAGACUGGGAUAACUUCGGGAAACCGGAGCUAAUACCGGAUAAUAUUUUGAACCGCAUGGUUCAAAAGUGAAAGAUGGUCUUGCUGUCACUUAUAGAUGGAUCCACGCUGCAUUAGCUAGUUGGUAAGGUAACGGCUUACCAAGGCAACGAUGCAUAGCCGACCUGAGAGGGUGAUCGGCCACACUGGAACUGAGACACGGUCCAGACUCCUACGGGAGGCAGCAGUAGGGAAUCUUCCGCAAUGGGCGAAAGCCUGACGGAGCAACGCCGAGUGAGUGAUGAAGGUCUUCGGAUCGUAAAACUCUGUUAUUAGGGAAGAACAUAUGUGUAAGUAACUGUGCACAUCUUGACGGUACCUAAUCAGAAAGCCACGGCUAACUACGUG
rnacentral:rRNA from 1 species